rnacentral:miRNA from 1 species
GGGCUUAGCUGUAUUGUGAGCA